GGCAAAUACUAUGCGAUAUCACGUACAUAUGGAAUCUAUAAAAUAAUACAAAUGAAUGUAUAUGCAAAACAGAAACAGACUCACAGAUAUAGAAAACAAACUUGUGGUUAGCAAAGGGGUAGAGGGAAGCGAGGAGAGACAAAUUAGGGGUAUAAGAAUAACAGAUACAAACUAAUAUAUAUAACAUAGGUAAGCAACAAGGAUAUACUCUAUUUCACAGGGAACUAUA